rnacentral:miRNA from 1 species
GGUUUCAAUACUUUAUCUGCUC